GGUGACGUGGCAGAGCGGCCUAAUGCACUCGCCUUGAAAGCGAGAGUGGGUUAAUCCCCACCGGGGGUUCAAAUCCCUCCGUCACCG
rnacentral:tRNA from 1 species